AUUGAUUUUGAAAUAAUUUUUUAUUUAGAUACAAGCAUAUAUUAAAAACUUUUCUUUUUAUUAAAUUUUAACAGAUUUAUUAAAAAAAAUUCCUCUAACCAAUCAGAACCUUUAAUAUUCCCUCUGAUAUAUUCAGUCUAAGGAAGCAUUUCUUACAAAUUGAAGGAAAUUCUUUUAUUCCUAUCUUUUACUCAAAGCAAGUGCUUUUACUUCAUAGUUUUGCUUAUAAGCAUUUUCUACAGCUUUAUUCAUUUGUCCCAUUGCAUUAUCUUGUGAUCAUUCAGUCAAUAAGAUUAUAUUGAAUGCAGACGUAAAUGAAUCAUUCAUAAUCUUUCUCUCUAGCUCUGAUAUGCAACAGAUUUAUUCCUACUUUGAUCAUAGCAGCCUAGCAUAUGAAUAGUUCAUUAAAUUAUAAAUUUAAAAGAGUAUAUAACACAAUAUGUGAGCACAAUUUCCAAUUAUAUAGGCUAUACAGAUUAAAAUUAUUUUUUAAGAAAUUGCAGGUGACUAUAAAUAGAUGCACAGUUGAAAUCUUGACCACCAUUGGUAUAGAGUUAAGCAUUUUCAAAGCUCCUUUUAAAUUAUGUGCUUCUUUCCCUCAAAAAAGUCAUAAAAUGUGGGGAUUUUCAAAUUAUUAUUAUUUUAUUUAAUUUUUGGCAUAAUUUAUUUAAUGUUUUUUAAUGGCUAGCAAGUCAACAAUGGAGAUUCACAAAAAAAAUACAUAAAUGUGAAAAAUUAUGGCCAACAUGAUAGCAGUUUAUCCUCCUACCAAAAACAAAAAAUUCAGAAAUGCCUUAUUAUAUUCAAUUUACUACUAUUCAAUUUACAGUUCUCUAAAUGAUAAAGCAAAACUAUAGUGACCAUGAAAUAUAAUAUAUAUGGGAAUUGUUUGUAAAAUAAGAAAUUUGUCAUUCUAGAAUGUUUUUGAUUUUCCAGUUGAC
rnacentral:lncRNA from 1 species